UGAGCAACCUGCCCCUGACUCUGGGAUAACCCCGGGAAACCGGAGCUAAUACCGGAUACGACACGCGAAGGCAUCUUCUGCGUGUAGAAAGAUUUAUCGGUCAGGGAUGGGCUCGCGGCCUAUCAGCUUGUUGGUGGGGUAGUGGCCUACCAAGGCGACGACGGGUAGCCGGCCUGAGAGGGUGACCGGCCACACUGGGACUGAGACACGGCCCAGACUCCUACGGGAGGCA
rnacentral:rRNA from 1 species